AUUGAACGCUGGCGGCAUGCUUUACACAUGCAAGUCGAACGGUAACAAGCCGCAAGGUGCUGACGAGUGGCGAACGGGUGAGUAAUGCACCGGAACGUGCCCAGUCGUGGGGGAUAACACAGCGAAAGCUGUGCUAAUACCGCAUACGAUCUAUGGAUGAAAGCGGGGACCGUAAGGCCUCGCGCGAUUGGAGCGGCCGAUGUCAGAUUAGCUAGUUGGUGGGGUAAAGGCCCACCAAGGCGACGAUCUGUAGCUGGUCUGAGAGGACGACCAGCCACACUGGGACUGAGACACGGCCCAGACGCCUACGGGAGGCAGCAGUGGGGAAUUUUGGACAAUGGGCGCAAGCCUGAUCCAGCAAUGCCGCGUGCAGGAAGAAGGCCUUCGGGUUGUAAACUGCUUUUGUACGGAACGAAACGGUCUGGGUUAAUACCUCGGGCUAAUGACGGUACCGUAAGAAUAAGCACCGGCUAACUACGUGCCAGCAGCCGCCGUAA
rnacentral:rRNA from 1 species